CAGCAGCCACGGUAAUACGAAGGGGGCUAGCGUUGCUCGGAAUCACUGGGCGUAAAGGGCGCGUAGGCGGCUGAUUUAGUCGAGGGUGAAAGCCCGUGGCUCAACCACGGAAUGGCCUUCGAUACUGGUUGGCUUGAGACCGGAAGAGGACAGCGGAACUGCGAGUGUAGAGGUGAAAUUCGUAGAUAUUCGCAAGAACACCAGUGGCGAAGGCGGCUGUCUGGUCCGGUUCUGACGCUGAGGCGCGAAAGCGUGGGGAGCAAACAGGAUUAGAUACCCCCGUAGUCCCUGUCUCUUAUAC
rnacentral:rRNA from 1 species